UACGGGGGGUGCAAACGUUGCUCGGAAUCAUUGGGCGUAAAGCGCACGUAGGCGGUGCGACAAGUCGGGUGUGAAAUCCCUCAGCUUAACUGAGGAAGUGCACUCGAAACUAUCGCGCUUGAGUAUCGAAGAGGAUCGCGGAAUUCCCGGUGGAGAGGUGAAAUUCGUAGAUAUCGGGAGGAACACCAGUGGCGAAGGCGGCGAUCUGGGCGAUAACUGACGCUGAGGUGCGAAAGCGUGGGGAGCAAACAGG
rnacentral:rRNA from 1 species